rnacentral:rRNA from 1 species
UGCGGCCUUGCGUCGUUGGGACCUGUGGUGUUUAGGACUAUUUAUUCGCUUAGAUGCCUACCUAAAGUUCACUUGAUUGUGACUCUAGGCCCAGAGAGGGUGUAAGGCCCGUCUGGGUAGGCGUCUUUGCGUCUGAAUUGUCCUUAGAGUCGGGUUGUUUGAGAUUGCAGCCCAAAGUGGGUGGUAAACUCCAUCUAAGGCUAAAUACUGAACACUAGUCCGAUAGUCAACAAGUACCGUGAGGGAAAGUUGAAAAGAACUUUGAAGAGAGAGUUCAAUAGUGCGUGAAGCCGUCUAGAGGUAAACGAGUGGGGCCGAAAUUGGCUUUGGGGAUUCAGCCAGAUGAGUUGGCGGCGUUGGAUUUUGUUUGACUUUUGUAAUGAAGCAAACGGUCUAACUUGUGCGGCUAAUUCGCUGGUGCACUUUCCCUUAGUCUACACUAUGACCGGCGGUUUGAUGGUCUGUCAUUGGAUGAUGGUAGCAUCGGCUUUUAUGCUGGUGUGAAACGUCUGAUAUGGAACUGUCGAAUUGCUGUGACUGCGAUGCAAGCCUUGAGGCGCACAUGACAGGAUUGAAUCGGCGUUACUUUGGGUAGACUUCGUAUGAAGGUUGCUCGAGGUGGCGUUGAUUUGGUCAGCCCUCUGUGAUUUGUGUCAAUAGUCUAUGGUGUUAAAGUAGGCAACCUACUUGACCCGUCUUGAAACACGGACCAAGGAGUCUAGCAUGUGCGCGAGUCAUUGGGCGUUACGAAACCCAAAGGCGAAGUGAAAGCAAAGGCUUGCUUUAAGCAGGCUUAGAUGUGAUCCCGGUAGUUUGUAAUGACUCUGGGCGCAACAUCGGUCCGUCUUAUUGUGUUUAUUCACAGGGGCGGAACAAGAGCGUACAUGCUGAAACCCGAAAGAUGGUGAACUAUGCUUGCGCAGGUUGAAGCCAGAGGAAACUCUGGUGGAGGACCGUAGCGAUUCUGACGUGCAAAUCGAUCGUCAGACGUGAGUAUAGGGGCGAAAGACUAAUCGAACCAUCUAGUAGCUGGUUCCCUCCGAAGUUUCCCUCAGGAUAGCUGGCAUGCAUGAUAAUAAACAGUUUUAUCCGGUAAAGCGAAUGAUUAGAGGUAUUGGGGACGAAAUGUCCUCAACCUAUUCUCAAACUUUAAAUGGGUGAGAUGCUGGACUCACUUAAUUGGAGUCUCGGCAUUGAAUGUGUGUGCCUAGUGGGCCAUUUUUGGUAAGCAGAACUGGCGCUGUGGGAUGAACCAAACGUCUGGUUAAGGUGCCUAACACGACGCGCAUAAGAUACCACAAAAGGUGUUGGUUGAUAUAGACAGCAGGACGGUGGCCAUGGAAGUUGGAAUCCGCUAAGGAGUGUGUAACAACUCACCUGCCGAAUCAACCAGCCCUGAAAAUGGAUGGCGCUUAGCGUCGGACCUAUACCGGACCAACACUGCAAAGACUGUUUAAUUAAUGCAGUGUUGAGUAGGAGGGUCGCCGUGGUGAGCGUUGAAGCUUAGUCUGUGAAGACUGGUGGAGCCGCCACGGGUGCAGAUCUUUC